CCUACGGGAGGCAGCAGUGGGGGAUAUUGCACAAUGGGGGGAACCCUGAUGCAGCGACGCCGCGUGGGUGAAGGAGUGCUUCGGCAUGUAAAGCCCUAUCGGCAGGGAAGAAGCAUGACGGUACCUGACUAAGCAGCCCCGGCUAACUACGUGACAGCCGCCGCGGUACUACGUAGGGGGCGAGCGUUAUCCGGAUUCACUGGGGUUAAAGGGAGCGUAGACGGCCAUGCAAGCCAGGGGGGAAAGCCCGGGGCCCAACCCCGGGCCAGCCGUUGAAACUGCAUGGCUGGAGUGCGGGAGGGGCAGGCGGAAUGCCUGGUGUAGCGGUGAAAUGCGUAGAUAUCAGGAGGAACACCGGCGGCGAAGGCAGCCUGCUGGACGGCGACUGACGUUGAGGCUCGAAAGCGUGGGGAGCGAACAGGAUUAGAUACCCCAGUAGUC
rnacentral:rRNA from 1 species